rnacentral:rRNA from 1 species
UGGCGGACGGGUGAGUAACGCGUGGAGAACCUGCCGUAUACUGGGGGAUAACACUUAGAAAUAGGUGCUAAUACCGCAUAAGCGCACGGUCCUGCAUGGGACAGUGUGAAAAACUCCGGUGGUGCAAGAUGGACCCGCGUCUGAUUAGCUGGUUGGCGGGGUAAAGGCCCACCAAGGCGACGAUCAGUAGCCGGCCUGAGAGGGUGGACGGCCACAUUGGGACUGAGACACGGCCCAAACUCCUACGGGAGGCAGCAG